CUCUCCAGCCGGCAACCUGGGUUCAAGGUGAGGGGUGCUGUCUGUGAUUGAGGGACAUGGUACAUGGAACUGUCUCACACAGAAAUCGCACCCGUCUCCUUGGCCUGCCUAGCAACACCCCGGCACU
rnacentral:pre_miRNA from 15 species